rnacentral:rRNA from 1 species
UACAGAGGGUGCGAGCGUUAAUCGGAAUUACUGGGCGUAAAGCGCACGUAGGCGGCUUGGUAUGUCGGGUGUGAAAUCCCCGGGCUCAACCUGGGAACUGCAUCCGAAACUGCCUUGCUCGAGUAUGGGAGAGGGAAGUGGAAUUUCCGGUGUAGCGGUGAAAUGCGUAGAUAUCGGAAGGAACAUCAGUGGCGAAGGCGACUUCCUGGACCAAUACUGACGCUCAGGUGCGAAAGCGUCGGGAGCAAACAGG